rnacentral:misc_RNA from 1 species
GAUGAGAACGUAGCGAAAUGCGAUAAGUAAUGUGAAUUGCAGAAUUCAGUGAAUCAUCGAAUCUUUGAACGCACAUUGCGCCCCCUGGUAUUCCGGGGGGCAUGCCUGUUCGAGCGUCAUUUCACCACUCAAGCCUCGCUUGGUAUUGGGCAACGCGGUCCGCCGCGUGCCUCAAAUCGACCGGCUGGGUCUUCUGUCCCCUAAGCGUUGUGGAAACUAUUCGCUAAAGGGUGUUCGGGAGGCUACGCCGUAAAACAACCCCAUUUCUAAGGUUGACCUCGGAUCAGGUAGGGAUACCCGCUGAACUUAAGCAUAUCAAUAAGCGGAGGA